CUCUCACAUAGUAACUGAGUCACUCUGUCCCCUUUUUUCACUAUAAAAGGUUCUUUACCAAAGUUAAAUAAUACAACCCCAACAUUUCCUCUGUAGUCCUCAUCCACCACACCAGCUCCAACAUCAAUGAAAUACUUAGCAGCCAAACCUGAUCGGAAACUACUCUUCCAUAACAACCAGUGGUAACACAUAUUUGGAUAUCAGUUUUCACCACAGCUUUGUCCAUGGCAGGUAUUAAAUAAUCAUAUGCACUGUACAGGUAAUAGCAGACUGCUCUGGCUGAGCCCCUUGUG
rnacentral:lncRNA from 1 species